rnacentral:rRNA from 1 species
GGAGUUAGCCGGUGCUUCUUCUGUGAGUGAUGUCCUUCCUGCCGGCUAUUAACCCGCAGGCCUUCUUCCUCACUGAAAGUGCUUUACAACCCGAAGGCCUUCUUCACACACGCGGCAUGGCUGGAUCAGGGUUGCCCCCAUUGUCCAAUAUUCCCCACUGCUGCCUCCCGUAGGAGUCUGGGCCGUGUCUCAGUCCCAGUGUGGCUGAUCAUCCUCUCAGACCAGCUACGGAUCGUCGCCUUGGUGAGCCGUUACCUCACCAACCAGCUAAUCCGACAUAGGCUCAUCCGAUAGCGCGAGGCCCGAAGGUCCCCCGCUUUCCCCCGUAGGGCGUAUGCGGUAUUAGCCUGGGUUUCCCCCAGGUUAUCCCCCACUACCGGGCAGAUUCCUAUGCAUUACUCACCCGUCCGCCGCUCGCCACCAGGGAGCAAGCUCCCCGUGCUGCCGCUCGACUUGCAUGUGUAGCGUCGCCGCCACGCGUCAUCUGAACCAACGAUACAACUACUGA